rnacentral:rRNA from 2 species
GCCUUAGUAGCGGCGAGUGAGCGGCAAAAGCUCAAAUUUGAAAUCUGGUACUUUCAGUAUCCGAGUUGUAAUUUGAAGAAGGUAUCUUUGGAUCUGGCUCUUGUUUAUGUUUCUUGGAACAGAACGUCACAGAGGGUGAGAAUCCCGUGCGAUGAGAUGUCACAGAUCUAUGUAAAGUUCCUUCGAAGAGUCGAGUUGUUUGGGAAUGCAGCUCUAAGUGGGUGGUAAAUUCCAUCUAAAGCUAAAUAUUGGCGAGAGACCGAUAGCGAACAAGUACAGUGAUGGAAAGAUGAAAAGAACUUUGAAAAGAGAGUGAAAAAGUACGUGAAAUUGUUGAAAGGGAAGGGCUUGAGAUCAGACUUGGUAUUUUAUAUGUUACUUCUUCGGGGGUAACCUCUAUAGUUUAUCGGGCCAGCAUCGGUUUGAACGGUAGGAUAAUGGUAAAGAAAUGUGGCAUUACUUGUAAUGUGUUAUAGUCUUUAUUGAUACUGCCAGUUUAGACCGAGGACUGCGAUUUUUAAUCUAGGAUGUUGGCAUAAUGAUCUUAAGUCACCCGUCUUGAAACAAAAGACC